rnacentral:misc_RNA from 1 species
GGCGGCCGCGGUAAUUCCAGCUCCAAUAGCGUAUAUUAAAGUUGUUGCAGUUAAAAGCUCGUAGUUGAAUUUCGGGAUCAAUACGUCGGUCGUGCUUCGGUACGUACUGGCGUAAUUGAUUUCUCCCUUCUGACGAACCAUGAUGUCAUUAACUUGGUGUCAUGGGAAAUCAGGACUGUUACUUUGAAAAAUUAGAGUGUUUAAAGCAGGCUCACGCUUGAAUACAUUAGCAUGGAAUAAUGAAAUAGGACGUUCGAUCCUAUUUUGUUGGUUUUUAGGAUCAACGUAAUGAUUAAUAGGGAUAGUUGGGGGCAUUAGUAUUCAAUUGUCAGAGGUGAAAUUCUUGGAUUUAUUGAAGACUAACUACUGCGAAAGCAUUUGCCAAGGAUGUUUUCAUUAAUCAAGAACGAAAGUUAGGGAUCGAAGACGAUCAGAUACCGUCGUAGUCUUAACCAUAAACUAUGCCGACUAGGGAUCGGAUGAUGUUUAAUUUUUAAUGUACUCAUUCGGCGUCCUUACG